AAAUGAAUAGACGGGGACCCGCACAAGCAGUGGAGUAUGUGGUUUAAUUCGACGCAACGCGAAGAACCUUACCAGGGCUUGACAUCCUACUAACGAAGCAGAGAUGCAUUAGGUGCCCUUCGGGGAAAGUAGAGACAGGUGGUGCAUGGUUGUCGUCAGCUCGUGUCGUGAGAUGUUGGGUUAAGUCCCGCAACGAGCGCAACCCUUAUUGUUAGUUGAUACAUUUAGUUGAUCACUCUAGCGAGACUGCCGUUGAUAAAACGGAGGAAGGUGGGGACGACGUCAAAUCAUCAUGCCCUUUAUGUCCUGGGCUACACACGUACUACAAUGGCAGUCAUACAGAGGGAUGCAAAACGGCGACGUGGAGCGAAACCCUAAAAGCUGUCUCAGUUCAGAUUGCAGGCUGCAACUCGCCUGCAUGAAGGCGGAAUUGCUAGUAAUCGCGGAUCAGCAUGCCGCGGUGAAUACGUUCCCGGGUCUUGUACACACCGCCCGU
rnacentral:rRNA from 1 species